UCCAUCCAUCCAUCCAUCCAUCCAUCCAUCCAUCUAUCUAUCCAUCCAUCCAUCCAUCUUGUAAGCCACUCAGAAUUGUUUUGGAUGGCGAGAUGGGCACCGUAUGAAUUUAAUAAAAAAUAGAUAAAAUUAUAUCUUCAGCAUCAGAUCCUUUCCACCAACGGUGUUUUUAAAUUGCUCUUCGGGCCUUUUUUUUUUUAAGGCUUCACAGGUGUUACAACGUGUAGAAUUAAAACCCCAAAAGACACACAAAAGCAUCAAUACAGAAACCUGGCUUCGCCAGUUCUUCAUUAGGGCUUUGUAGCGGCUUAAGAGGGGUGAGAUUUUAAUCAGAAUUACAAUAAAAUGUCUCCCUCAGCUCCUUUGGGAGUGCUGACAAUGGUCCUGUGAAGAAACAGCCUUAAGUUCAAGAACUGAUUGUGAUAGUUUGAGUUCAAAAUGACAGGGAAAUCCACUGUAAGCCCUGAUUAUGGUUUACAACUUGCCAUAUUUAACUAUGGUCCAGCCGUCUUAUGUAUCGUACGUGGUGGACAUGUGUAGAAGCCAAAAAAAUACUGGACAAAAAUACAUAUACGUGGCUGGAAAAGAUGAUAAAGCAACACAUUGAUUUAAAACCAGAAAUAUUCUUGUUGGGGAAUGUUACCAGAAACUUAUAGUAAAGAGAACACAUAUUUAAUUAUUCAUCUAUUAACUAGAAUUUGUAUUCGCACAAAAUUGGAAAAGCGAAGAUGAUGAGAAUGUGAUUAGGAAAAUAUUAGAAUGUGCAGAAAUGAACAGAUUCAACGCUGGCAAUUAAGGAGAAAGAACAAACUGAUUAUUAUAUAAUAUGGGAAUGGUUUUAUCGAUGGUUGGAGAAUAAAAGUGGAAGUUGGAAAUAAAAGGAGAUUAAAAAAAGUAGAAAAUAUAUUGAGAUAUAAACAAUAUAAUUGUUAGCAUUAUUAUUAGGAUUAUUAUGCUUACUAUUAUUAUAUUAUUAGAAGCCACGUUAAGAGGGGAAAAUGAAAACGUUUACUAUGCUGAAUUGAUAAAUAUACUAUAAUUGUAAGAUUAAUUAAUAUCAAAGUAGUGAAUGUUGUUGUUGAUGGUUAUUGCACAGAGAUAUUUGUACCCAGACCACACACUGUUUAAGAGAAGAUGGAAUGUUUAUAUUUGAAAAAAAAAACCUUUAAAAAAAACCUAUAGUACAGUCAAUAAACCCAUAAUAUAGAUAGAGCUCUAACAUAGAGCUGAGGAAGCUUCUUGAAAUGAGAAGCAAAACAUCUUCAAAGAAAAACCAAAAAAAUCGUGUUGAAAAAGCACCUUUGGCUUAACAUUCAUAUUCCAGAUCCAAUAGCCAUUUCUGAGGUACUGUGCUGGUUGAACACCCUUUUAUAUGAACCCUAAGGGUCGAAAGCCUUUCGCUUUCAGCUAAUGGGAAGAGGUUACAGGGAACCACAUGGCUAUUGGUCCUUCUGCGGGCACAAGGACCAAUCGUCUUGCCAGAUAAGAGAGCCAAUAGAAGAGAGAAGUCUGAAGCUGGGCCACCAAUUAGGUAAGUGCUGGCUUGGCAGAGAAGGGGGGGGGGUUAUGGGGGGAGAUGGUAUAUAAAGGGGGCAGCUGCCAGCAGGAGCCACUUUGCCCCUCAGAAGAGCUGGAGGUCAGGAGGAAGAGAAAGGAAGGCUAGAAGACUCUGAAGAUAGUAGAGGUAGAAGGCAGAAGACAAGAAGAGAACUUGGAGAAGAGGAAGCUUUUGAGCUGAACACCAAGAACAGACUUGUGGGUCAUCUGCAGCAAUGCCAAGGAAGAAUCCGAAGAAGGAAAAGUGACACCACUAAAUCCAAUCCCUGAAGAAAGGGAAGAAGUCACUGUAGGUGUUUAAGCUGAAGUCCUAGACAUUGAAAAGACCAGAGAGAAGCUAUUGGGAGGACCAGAGAGAGAACUCUCUGCUUUAAUUCACCCUCUGGCUUGGAGCUGAAGUCCUAGAAUCAGGACAAGAAAGCAGUGACCACUGGAGUGCAGAGGACCAGAAAGAGAACUUUAAGAAACUUCACUUUAAAUUUAGACUUUGGCUAUUGUGAGGACCAGAACUUUGCUUGGGGAAGGCUCUAAUUGGUGUAGAGCUUUCAAAGCCUAAAUGCCUCUGCCCAUAAGACCAUGGGCUGGCCAUCUAUUCCUCUUUUAAGUCCCAUUCUUUCCUGUAGAAGUUGCAGUGAAAUAAAAGUGUCACACUUAAGAAAUGCAUUUUGAUCCCUUCCUUUGUAUUGAGUGUGUAAGCACAGAUGUGAUGGCUCAGUGGCUAAGACCCUGAGCUUGUCAAUUUCAGUUCAGUGGUUUGAGUCCCUAGUGCUGUGUAACAGGGUGAGUUCCUGUUACUUGUCCCAGCUUCUGCCAACCUAGCAGUUCAAAAGCAAAUAGAAAAAUAGGGACCACCUUUGGUGGGAAGGGAACAUAGUUCUGUGUGCCUUUGGCAUUGAGUCAUGCCAGCCACAUGACCAUGGAGCCAUCUUCAGGCAGUGCUGGCUCUUCAGCUUUGAAACGGAGAUGAGCACUGCCCCCUAGAGUCGGGAACAUAUGUAUGAGGGGAACCUUUACCUUUUAAGCAGAAAUCAAAUUGGGAAGAAUGAGCAAACAGUAAGCAUUUUACACCCAGUAACACACCUGGGGUUUUUCUAAGGGAGGGAAAACAAUUAAAAAGGAUCAUUUCUGGAUCAGGCCAGGAGUUACACAAGUUUACAAACUUGUGUAAAAGGUUCCUUGUCAUCAUUUGUUUCCUUAUAAAAUUUACUUUUCACACACACACACACAAGUAUUCUUCAAAGCUCCCAUAAAGCUCAUUAUGGGAUUUGGCUCCAAAAAAUAUUUAGGUAUUUUGAAAUUUUUUGCAGUAGGAAACCAUACCAAGACACAGCAGCAAAAACAAAAAAAAAACCAUUUUAUUGUAACCUUUGCUUUCCUGAGCUGGAAGAACUUUGGGAAGGUUUUGCCUCCUAAGCUGAACAAUCACACAGCUGGUUUAGGGAUCACCCAGAAAACUAGAUUAUUAAUUUUUUUUUGGCCUCAAAAUCUGCCUCUCAAAAAAGGUCUGGCUUCAGAUCAAAAAUCCAGUUUGAGAAAUCUGUAUCUCACUAUAUUUCUC